AACAGGAUUAGAUACCCUGGUAGUCCACGCCGUAAACGAUGUCGACUUGGAGGUUGUGCCCUUGAGGCGUGGCUUCCGGAGCUAACGCGUUAAGUCGACCGCCUGGGGAGUACGGCCGCAAGGUUAAAACUCAAAUGAAUUGACGGGGGCCCGCACAAGCGGUGGAGCAUGUGGUUUAAUUCGAUGCAACGCGAAGAACCUUACCUGGUCUUGACAUCCACGGAAGUUUUCAGAGAUGAGAAUGUGCCUUCGGGAACCGUGAGACAGGUGCUGCAUGGCUGUCGUCAGCUCGUGUUGUGAAAUGUUGGGUUAAGUCCCGCAACGAGCGCAACCCUUAUCCUUUGUUGCCAGCGGUCCGGCCGGGAACUCAAAGGAGACUGCCAGUGAUAAACUGGAGGAAGGUGGGGAUGACGUCAAGUCAUCAUGGCCCUUACGACCAGGGCUACACACGUGCUACAAUGGCGCAUACAAAGAGAAGCGACCUCGCGAGAGCAAGCGGACCUCAUAAAGUGCGUCGUAGUCCGGAUUGGAGUCUGCAACUCGACUCCAUGAAGUCGGAAUCGCUAGUAAUCGUGGAUCAGAAUGCCACGGUGAAUACGUUCCCGGGCCUUGUACACACCGCCCGUCACUCCAUGGGAGUGGGUUGCAAAAGAAGUAGGUAGCUUAACCUUCGGGAGGGCGCUUACCACUUUGUGAUUCAUGACUGGGGUGAAGUCGUAACAAGGUAACC
rnacentral:rRNA from 1 species